CGGGGUGAGUAACACGUGAGUAACCUGCCCUUCACUCUGGGAUAACGUCGGGAAACCGGUGCUAAUACUGGAUAUGACCUACUCGGGCAUCCGAUGUGGGUGGAAAGAUUUAUUGGUGGGGGAUGGACUCGCGGCCUAUCAGCUUGUUGGUGAGGUAAUGGCUUACCAAGGCGACGACGGGUAGCCGGCCUGAGAGGGCGAUCGGCCACACUGGGACUGAGACACGGCCCAG
rnacentral:rRNA from 1 species